rnacentral:rRNA from 1 species
GAUGAACGCUGGCGGCGUGCCUAAUACAUGCAAGUCGAACGAAACUUCUUUAUCACCGAGUGCUUGCACUCAUCGAUAAAGAGUUGAGUGGCGAACGGGUGAGUAACACGUGGGCAACCUGCCCAAAAGAGGGGGAUAAUACUCGGAAACAGGUUCUAACACCGCAUAACCAUAGUUCCCGCAUUGAAACUAUGUAAAAGGUGGCAAUCCUACCGCUUUUGGAUGGGUACCCGGCGCAUUAGCUAGUUGGUCGGGUAAAGGCUUAACAUGGCAAUGAUGCGUAGCGGAAUUGAGAGGGUGAUCGGCCACAUUGGCACUGAGACACGGCACAAACUCCGACGGGAGGCAGCAGUAGGGAAUCUUCCACAAUGGGCGAAAGCCUGAUGGAGCAACACCGCGUGGGUGAAGAAGGUCUUCGGAUGGUAAAGCCCUGUUGUUAGAGAAGAAAGAAAGUGAGUUUAACUGUUCACGUUAUGACGGUACCUAACCAGUAAGCCACGGCUAACUACGUG